UGAUAAGUCGUCCGUCCUUAUUCGAACCCACUGAGCAAACACUGAAAAUAAAACCCGUACAUAAUUGAGUCAUUCAGUACGGGGGGGGGGGAUGCUCCACGGUAGGCUACUGCAAAUGUGAUCCCAGAGCGUGGAACAAGUUGUGUAGCACUCGCUGCUGCUAAAAGAAACUACUCACACAGACAUAUUCUCAUCUGCAGUCUUACUGCAUUGUGUUGCUAUAAGCAGAGCCUGCCUGAGUGUCUCAAUGGACACUGCUCUUUUUCCAUUUUCCUCCAGUGCGCAUUUACUUAAUUAGCACAUAGCAACACAUUCUCCCUCCAAACUCUUAAAAUACAGGCGCUGAGUCAGUCGACCUAUUCUUCAAACUAUGAAGCUCCAGGGGUCCGUCUCGCAUCAGCAUUGGACUGCUUUAAAAGGGAGACGUGCAGCCAUAACAGAAUUAAUCAAUGCCAUGAAUAUAAAUUCAAUAUUUUCUGAAUUUUAAUUAUAUUUUUUUUCCGCUUCAGUUCAUGUCCAGAUAUGCGAGGGAAGAAAAUCCAGCAUCCAGAUGUGUGAUGGUAUUAAACUCUUCACCGCGGCAUAACGCUAUCCCCGUAGGCUGCAAAAAAACCCCUCCCCUCUGGCUUCUCCAAGCAAACUGUGCCUUUAAAAGAGACUUGUAAGCCUGCCUCCACAGCUGUGUGAUCCUGAUCCGAUCCAUCGAGCGCAUAGAGGAAGCCGUUUGAUUGUGGAGCAGGCUCCGUCCAUUCCAACCCUGACCACAGACAUGCAGGUUACAGUGUCCCUGUCCGCCUUAUCUCCCGCUGCACCGGCCCGACUUUAGAACCCACGAGCUACGGCCCGGCCUCUGCCAUAGAUAAAGCCCAAAAUAGACCACUCUCGCUGACAGCAGGGCAGCCCUAGAUAAGACUCUUGUGUCCGCAGCUUUGAGCUGCAAAUGGGGAGGGAAGGGGAGGUGCGAGAUCGUCUGCUAGGAGGAGACAGUAAACACAAUAUUGUUGAGCUGAAUUCAUGGGGUUUAGAUGCCAGUGCUGUCCCUUCUCCUUUUCGAACACAGAUAAGGGAAGUUGUAGAAAUGCAAACAAAAAAAAUGGUUUUCUUUUCUCACAGUUGACGCCAUUGAUUGCGUUUAUUGACUCGUGUAGUUGAAGCACCAAUUUGGUGGUCACGGUUCGCAGCGAUAAGAAAAUUACCUUCCAACAUGUGCCGAGCUGGUGUGUGAGCAUGAAAUCACGCCAGUAUGUCUGCAUGUCUGUUAAUGUUUAUGCCUGCUCCCGUAUAGCUUAUCAUUUAACCUCUGCCAGAUGGCAAACUGCAAAAGGUGCAUCUAAAAAGGAGCCUCCGUUGGCACGCAGAAGCCAAUCAAUAGCUGUGUGUCCUAGUAAAUUAGAUCAUGUAGACAAGAGGCAGUCGUCAGCAGAGCCAUCCCAAAGUAACCCUUUGCCUGGUUGUUUCAUUGUCCAUUAGACAAUGGCCUGCAGUAAUUGAAUUGGCCUGUACAAUCUCAGGGCUUGGCCUUCCCUUUUUUGUCUUUGACAGCAUAUUCAGGUCGGAUAACUUUACACGUAUUUUUAGAGAUAGUGUAGUGGUUAAGACCCUUGGUAAUGCAAACACAUGAACCACAGAAGAUUGUCAGAACUCGCUGGUUGUCUUCUGGAUGUCUCAUGAGACCAUGCACGGAAGCCUAGAUAGACUGCUGCAAGAACAAGAAACCUUUUUAGAACCACGACAAAACCCCUAAAACCCUUUUAGUCAUACAUGUAUCACCCGCGUGUGACAUUCUGUGACACAUCAAUAACAAACCUCAAGCUCUCUGAGCUGCAAACUCAAUAAGACAUCUCUGGUUUCUUCUGCUAUUUGAGCGUGUAUAAGUCGGGAGAAGCACUCAUAUAGAAUGCACGUCAAAAAUGUUUUUACAGGAUUGCUGAUGAAGAGUUUGAGAGCUUUCACGUAGUUAUACACUCAUUUUAAGCAUUCAAACCAUGCAGCCUAAUUAGAACAACAUAAAUAUACUCCCCUCCAGUCUCAUUAUGCCAUAUCUUCUGUAUCUGUUAAUGGCAGAUCAAAAAUGCCAUUUAUCUUGUUUUCUUUUUAUCCAUUAGUGCACUCCACUGGAGUACUUAGAUUUACAUAAUUGCAUAAUUACAGGACGAGCACAGGCUGGAAACCGGCAGCUCUGGAAGCUCAAAUUGUCCGACAAUCAAAUACUACUUUAUGACAUGUAUGGCAUUAUUACCCUUGCAUGUACUUAUACGACCCAGUGUAAACACAAAGGCCGCUGCAGUUUCACAAUGUUCAACUCUAUCAGGGCUUAGAGCAAGCCAACAGCAAGCUACUCACGGAUUUUUCAAAUGGAGCAGUUUUUCCCCACUUUAAACAGAGUACUCGUAAAUUGCACUGAGGUAGAGUUGCUGCUUGAUCAAAUAUUUUGUGAGGAGAAAACAUGUAGAACUAUUUUGGCCAUUAGGAUGGUUAUUGGGAUUUUCACAGUCUAGUACAGCAUUGGCUUUAAGGCUCCGUUUCCAUCCAUCCUUGUUGUUACGUUAAUCUAAUCUAUUUACUCAUCCUCGUCCGCCGACAUCCAGGUAGCUGUGCCAAAGCACUUAAAAAAUAUUUUACAGAAUUUCUAAUGCCAACCCAAGACACACACGGGCCAAGUGACCUGUUUCUCACUGUUCUAGUCGCAAAGUGGAAAUUUCCAUCAACAUAAUCGGUACAUUGCACUAAAACAUGAACAACAAAAACUGCUGUCUCAACAAGCAAAGCGGGGAAAGUAUGAGCAGAGUAUUUUUCUUCAGAAUCUCUCUGCGACAAAAACAUCCAGUGGAGUAUGCGGCCAUAAUCCCAUGUGACAUGGGCAGUCAAGGGCAAGGGAUUGGAGGGCUUGGAGAGAAAAAGACGCAGGACGGAAAUUCUGAGUGAGCGGGAAUCCACCGGCAUCCAUUCCAAGCAGAACAUAAUGGAUGGAGCGUGGGACCUGAUCCGGCUGUGGAUGAGCCAGCCCGUAGGUGUCUGAGUGGGCGUUCAAAUGGAUUCGGGGACACUGGCUGAGAAUAACACACUUUAUCCUCACCGAUGGCUUAGUCCUCAAAGAUGUUCCGUGUUCACUAGCCGUGCCGCGCCCCUCCCCACCUCGACGCACCCCACCCUUCCCUCCUUUCAAAGAAAAAAGAAGGUCUUCAUAACAAAUCGGCGGUGUGCCAAAAUCUUGCCGUCUGGCUGGUUGAGGGAGGUUUGGAUGCUUCUCCUUCAGUGCGCCCUAAUCCCAGUGUUGCACAAGCACACUGUUCUACUUCUCGCUUUGAGCUCGGCUUUUAACAACGGGAUAAAAGAACAGAUGAGGAGGAUCGUAGAUGUCACACUAGUGCGCUGAUGAUGAAAAUCAUAAGUUGUGCAAACAAGAAUGCUCUCAGUGGUGAUUCUGGCAGCUAAUAGAUGUUGUGCUCCAAGCGGUUAUGCGCUGCUGCGGAGGAGAAAGGUAAAUGACUCCAAAAACCACAGGGAAGUUGCAAUCUCCACAGAUACCUGGAAACCAAUACGAACCAACAUCUGGUAAUGAAUUAUGGAUGUAGAUGGAACACAUGUCCCGGGUCUGUCGCUUGCCCGGCGAUGUUGUUUAAAGUCUCAUGAAGAUAUACUUCCCAUGAUGGCUUUUGGAAUUUGCAAUGUGGGAUCUUGUGUUCUGUAAUAUACAGUUAUGGAUUAUUCCGAGGCAAUGUAUGCACAAACUACAAUGACAGGUUUUGAAGGAUAUUUUUCCAGCUACAUCUUGACAUUUAGAAAACAUUUUCUUCUCUGGGUUUAUUUCCGAUGUGACAGGAGACCAGGUAAUUAUAAUGUAUCCAUCUCCUGUAAUAACCUUUGUUGCCAGAUAAAUGUGGAGACUGGCUCGUGUUACAGACGAGUGUAGAGAGAGAUAGAGAGACACACCGAGACCGAGCAACAUGGAAAGAGAAAGAUGAAAAGAUAAUUGUCUUUAUGUGCCAAUAUGGGAAGAUUUUUCACUCGUGUGAAGCGCAAAUGAGAUGGCAAUUCUGUUACAGCUGUUGCAGAAACGCACCACAACAUAAGCACAAAAGGCAUCUCCGUCCCAGGGCUUUACAAGCUCCAUGGUCAACCAGGGAGAAAGACCCCACUAUGUUGUGUGUCUCCUAAUAUACCGACGGCAGACAGUAUGAAGCCCAUUAAAGACACUUACACAUUAAAGACCAUGUAAACAUAAUCAGAUGUAUGAAAAAAGGUAAUUCCGCUGUUAAAUGUGAGGAAAAAUGUUGUCCGCACUUGUUUGCGUAGGAAUUAAGUUAAUUUCAUUGCUACUUUAUUUUUAAGAAAGAAUAUAUGUUAGAAAAUAUAUAAAUUUAUUUUAGACGUGCAGGUUUUUUUUUUACAAGAAAAACUAAUAUUUUAUAGUUUGUAUAUUUUAAUGCAAUUAAUUCAAAACACAGAAGGUAG
ensembl:lncRNA